GUGGGGAAUAUUGGACAAUGGGCGAAAGCCUGAUCCAGCCAUGCCGCGUGUGUGAAGAAGGUCUUCGGAUUGUAAAGCACUUUAAGUGGGGAGGAAGGGCAGUAAGUUAAUACCUUGCUGUUUUGACGUUACCGACAGAAUAAGCACCGGCUAACUUCGUGCCAGCAGCCGCGGUAAUACGAAGGGUGCAAGCGUUAAUCGGAAUUACUGGGCGUCAAGCGCGCGUAGGUGGUUUUGUAAGUUGGAGGGGAAAUCCCCGGGCUCAACCUGGGAACUGGCUCCAAAACUGCAUGACUAGAGUACGGUAGAGGGUAGUGGAAUUUCCUGUGUAGCGGUGAAAUGCGUAGAUAUAGGAAGGAACACCAGUGGCGAAGGCGACUACCUGGACUGAUACUGACACUGAGGUGCGAAAGCGUGGGGAGCAAACAGGAUUAGAAACCCGAGUAGUCC
rnacentral:rRNA from 1 species